rnacentral:rRNA from 1 species
CCAGCAGCCGCGGUAAUUCCGGCUCCAAUAGCGUAUAUUAAAGUUGUUGCGGUUAAAAAGCUCGUAGUUGGAUUUCUGCUGAGAACGACCGGUCCGCCCUCUGGGUGUGUAUCUGGCUCUUUCUUGGCAUCUUCUUGGUGAACGUUGCUGCACUUGACUGUGUGGAGCGCUACCCAGGACUUUUACUUUGAGGAAAUUAGAGUGUUUCAAGCAGGCAUACGCCUUGAAUACAUUAGCAUGGAAUAAUAGAAUAGGACUCGGGUUCUAUUUUGUUGGUUUGAGGACCAGAGUAAUGAUUAAUAGGGAUAGUUGGGGGCAUUAGUAUUCAGUAGUCAGAGGUGAAAUUCUUGGAUUUACUGAAGACUAACUAGUGCGAAAGCAUUUGCCAAGGAUGUUUUCAUUAAUCAAGAACGAAAGU